rnacentral:lncRNA from 1 species
UCAAAGUUCCUCAAAUCUGAAGUCCAUUACAAUGGAUUGUCUAGAUUUAUUCUUGUUUGAGGAACUUUGAACUGAAAAUCCAUCUCUUAUUUCUUCUCUUCUAUGGAAAGCCAUAUCCACACCAUGAGAAAGCCAUAUCCACACCAUGAGAAAAAUCGAAGACAUAGAAGGUAGUUUCUGUUUUUUUAGUGUUAGCUUGGAAAUUGUAUGAAAAUAAAAUAAAAAAUAUUUUCGAGUCUUAAAAAUAGUGCAUCUUGCAACACAUUAUUUGGAUUGUUCAUUUUCAAGAUUUUUAUAUGUUUAUAGAUCUGCUUGAUUUAAACUAUUUUUUAAAUUUAAAAUUUUAUAAUUACAUAUGAAAAUAGAUUAUGGGACCAUCCUAAAAGCUUUCGACAACAAAAUGGCAUCUUAUGAUAGAGUUUUGAGGUGCAAUGGUUGUUUAAGGUUGCAACCUUGUACAAAUCACACCCUUAAUUAAAUGGAAUGAAAAAAACACUAAAGCAUAAAAGUUAGUUUAGUUAAUGGAAAAAAAGGCUGUAGAUUUCUAUAUGUUUUGGUCAUUUGUAAGAGAUUAGGUGAUUAUAUGCAGCAUUGUAGUUAUCACAUAAACAUGGGGAGUCUUCCAAAGUCCAUUUUGCAAUAUUUUCUUACCAAAGGAUUCUCUGGCAGGAGGAUAUCACUUGUGAGAGUAUUUUUAGGACUUUCAAAUUUUGGGAUGUAAUCUCUUCAAUUUAUCUAACAAAUUUUUUUUUUUAAAAUAAAGAAAAUAUAAGAGGUAAACCUUAUACUAUACGAGUAAAGUGGAUCUAAAAACCCACUAGAGAAGGUUAUUUGUAUACUGGAAAACCCUCAAAUCGAUCAUCUAGACUUUGAGAUUCAUAAACAUUAAAAAAAUGGAUUUCUAGUCCUAAAAAUAGUUUAUCAUCUAAAAUAUUAUCUGGACCGUCUAUUUUCAAGUGUUUAUAUAUCUGCUUAACUUUAAAUUUCAUAAUUGGGGGAAACAAUAUAUUUUCGUAUCGCAAGACUUUGCGGCACUGAAAUUGCAUUUUUGCAUAGUUUUGUAGUGCACCGUACUACAAUAGUAUAAGGUAUACAAACCUCACCCUUUAAAAGAUGUAUCUCUGUAUAUGUGCCUAAAUAAAUUAACGUCCUAAGAUUAAGUAGAUUCUAUCCAUUUUGGAUUGUUAACUCUGAAGUUCCUAAAAACUCAAAAAUCAAAUCAUUUUAUUUCGAUCCAAGGAGCAAGUGUCGAACGCAUAGUUAGCAAGUCAGGGAUUCUCAAUAAAUCGGCUCACCAUAAAAUUGGAAGCAAAUUGUUUUUAUCUUAAAAAGUCGGAUGAAAAAAUUGAGUAAAAAAUACGAUCGGCAAAAAUACUUUAUAUAAAGAUAUCGUUAAUAUAUCGGAAUAGGCUCAAAACAUCGGAGUCAAAAACAUCAGAUAAAUAUAUAAUAUUAAAAUUUUUGAAAUUCUAAAAAAUGAAAAUUAUAUCAAAACCAUCAAUAACUAAUUCAUCUAUAAAACUUUACGAGACUAAUAUAAUUAAGUCAAUUAAUUUAGAUGCCUCGUGACUUUCAUGCAAUCAUCCAAUAUUAAAUAUAUAAUUAACUAGUAUAUACCAAAAAAAAUUGUACAUUAAAAUCUACCCAUUAAAUACUUUAAGAAACAUCAUACCUCCUUAAUAUACUAUAUAAAUUUAUUCAUUAAAUACUUUAACUAUAGUAUCGUGACAAAUAUACUAUAUAAAUUUAUUUAUUAAAUACUCAAACAUCACCUACUUGGCAGGUAAAAAAAAAUACACGAUUUUUUUUUUUCAUUACAAGGAUUUAACUAUAGUAUGGUGACUACGGUCACUCCAUAACUAUGGUUAAAGUUUUAUGAAUUUCUUUAAUCGAAAAGAGGCUUGUAGAAAUUUGGGUGGUUAAAGUUUUAUAAAUUUCUUUAAUUGAAAAGAGGCUUGUAGAAAUUUGGGUUUCACAUCUCUGGGUUUAUGGUUUAGAGCAAUGGUUUAAAAAACUGAUCGGUGAUCCUGAUCGGGUUUCCAAAAAACCUAUCCGGAUCGACGAAUCGGUGAUCGGAUCGGAAAUCGGGUGAAUCGGUCAGAAUAAAGCUUAAAAAAAAUUCGAAAAAAUUAUUAAAAUUCAUUAUAAAUAUUGUUUUUUAGGAAUUCAAUAAAAAAUGAGGGUACUCCAUUAAGAAUUUUCAUGUUUUUGAAUGAAUAUGCGAAUAUUGAUAUGUUCUUUUCCUGCAUGAACCGCCAUUCAGCAUUUAAUUUACAGUAUUUCGUGUUCAUCCCGACACUGUUGCUGUUGGGACUCGAUAUGUGAAUAAAAUGGCUGGGAUAGGGUGGCCUCAGAAUCAUCAUCUCUCUCAUUUUCUCUUUGAAUAAUAUGGAUUAAAAAAAAAAUACAAAUUUUCAAAAAAAUC